CAGCCGCCACGGGAAUACGUAGGGUGCAAGCGUUAAUCGGAAUUACUGGGCGUAAAGCGUGCGCAGGCGGUUUUGUAAGACAGAGGUGAAAUCCCCGGGCUCAACCUGGGAACUGCCUUUGUGACUGCAAGGCUAGAGUACGGCAGAGGGGGAUGGAAUUCCGCGUGUAGCAGUGAAAUGCGUAGAUAUGCGGAGGAACACCGAUGGCGAAGGCAAUCCCCUGGGCCUGUACUGACGCUCAUGCACGAAAGCGUGGGGAGCAAACAGGAUUAGAUACCCCAGUAGUCCCUGUCUCUUAUAA
rnacentral:rRNA from 1 species